CUUCUACAGAACAAUGUAGUAUUUAUUUAUGAUUUACACACCCUCACAUGUGUUUUUAAUCAUCUCUACAAGUGACACCGAAUACAAGGUUAAGGGACAUUGUUUGUAAGAUCAUCAUGAGUCAUAUGAGGCUGGAAAAUGCUGCACCUGAACACAGAGUCCAAGGGACUGGAAGCUGAAGAUUGGCAGAGGCCAAUGAUGGACUUGGCCGGAAAGAUGCCUCUUCCAUGCUGGAGCCUUUGUUCCACAGAGAUCAUGCCAGGACUUUGCUAGUCAAGCACUUGGAGCAAUUGCGUGUUAACUUGAGAUCUGCAGCCAAGCACUGUCAAGUAAUAUCCCCAAUCCCCAGAAGGGUCUGGUGGGCAGAGGUCACAACCAAGAGGAGAUCAUUUAAGCCACCUUAUCCAGAG